GCGAGCCCCAGACCGAGUGGAUCGAUCGAAAUGGAGGAGCAGAGACAUGUGGGUGAUGGAUCACAGGUGGAGGAAGAAGAAACUGAUCUCUCUGCAUGGUAUGAUCAAAUUAUUAACUGUGGUUUUACUGGGGCCGUUAAACCUGAGAACAAAGAGGCCAUAAUAAGAUCAAUUGUGCUUCAUGCAACUCUACGUUUGGUCCCUUUGUUGAAGCAAAUCUGAAAAGGUCUUGAAGUGUACAAUUUUGUGGACAUCCUGGAAAACCAUUCAGGACUUUGCCACCAGUUCUUUGUCCCUGAUGUGGUGGAUGAUGAUAAUAAGGCUGAUGCAGACUUCAUCAUGCAGAACAUUCUUCCAAAAAUGUCGGAGAAGGGAUCAGUACAAGAGACUUAUGAAACAGCUAUAAUCAACUUUCUGCAAGACUUUCUCCAAGAAAUUGAAAGCUGUGUUAUGUAUG